rnacentral:rRNA from 1 species
GAUGAACGCUGGCGGCGUGCCUAAUACAUGCAAGUCGAGCGAACAGAUAAGGAGCUUGCUCCUUUGACGUUAGCGGCGGACGGGUGAGUAACACGUGGGUAACCUACCUAUAAGACUGGAAUAACUCCGGGAAACCGGGGCUAAUGCCGGAUAACAUUUAGAACCGCAUGGUUCUAAAGUGAAAGAUGGUUUUGCUAUCACUUAUAGAUGGACCCGCGCCGUAUUAGCUAGUUGGUAAGGUAACGGCUUACCAAGGCAACGAUACGUAGCCGACCUGAGAGGGUGAUCGGCCACACUGGAACUGAGACACGGUCCAGACUCCUACGGGAGGCAGCAGUAGGGAAUCUGCCGCAAUGGGCGAAAGCCUGACGGGGCAACGCCGCGUGAGUGAUGAAGGUCUUCGGAUCGUAAAACUCUGUUAUUAGGGAAGAACAAAUGUGUAAGUAACUGUGCACGUCUUGACGGUACCUAAGCAGAAAGCCACGGCUAACUACGU